GCGGCUUCACAGUGCUUUCAAUGUACAGUAUGGUGCAAACAGGGUCUUACUUAGAGCGCAACUCGUAUGAUUUUAUCAUUUAUUAAAUUUAUAUAACUCCCUUGCUCUGAAAAACACAGGACGGUAUACAGUAGAGUCCUGCUCGGGAGCAUCUGUGGCGUGAAAAGCUGCAAGAUUUCAGAAGGAAUGCACACCGAUUGAAAACUGUUCUAGUCCUCAUCGCUGGCACGGUUAAAGGAGGUGGCAAGGAAGGUCUUCUUGUGGCCGGCACUUUGUCAGAUGGCCCUCGAGACUCGGAUGCGAGGAAACGGCACACAGCACAUGCUCAGAGGUUCUCUGAUGAACAGCCCCCAGUCUGGUUGCACACUGCAUUGGUAACCUACAGAUCCACUCACAGCUGUCUCCUGCCCCCUCCCACCCCACGACCUAAGACCCUCCCCUCACCAGCCAGGCCAGCAUCCCCUCCUCCUGUCAGAUUAAUCCCAAGCAAGAAGAGGCAAGGGGAUAUUGAGUUCUGGAGCCCUCAGACCACCAGGUGGAGGUAAAGAUGGCAGCAUCGGUGAGGGAAAACUAGGCCACACAGCCGUUCGGCAAGACCAAGGAACCGCCCGCGUCCUCACAGCACCCUGAAGGAGCACGACAGACACUGCUUGGAUGGCUGAGAAAAGAAAAGAAAAAACCCUGCUCUGCUUCAAUUUUCACCAUGGCUACCUCAGAUUAGAAUUCCUGGUCCUGCAAAAAUUCAACUCAGAACGAAGCGCCACUGAGUUCAAUGUUGCUACUCUCAGGUAAGUAACUAUACAACAGAACUACAGCAAAUGAACAAAAUUCCUUUCUUACUUUAGUGUGCUUCAGCAGACACACGCACACAGAUGACUGAAGCCUAUGCGCUUGUUCUCAGACUGAUGGGCCAAAAUAAACCUUUGCCAUAUAAAACGGGGAAUAGUUUUUUUUUAUAAGAUCCCAUCAAGUUAUUUUAAUCAAAUAAAACACUGCACCUUCCAGCUGUUUUGAAACUACACAGAAAGUGGGGGAAUAACACUAGGAAGAACCUAGAAAAAGCAAGGAGGACGUUAACAGGAAGGAAGGGAAGAUGGAUCAACUUUUGGGAGGUGUUGGGGGCCGCACAUGAUGAGGUCAGGGCCACGGGUCACCCACCCGUGUUGUAGUGUGCAGUUGAGGCAGCUCCUAAUAAAUAACCUUAGUGCAAAUGCUUCUCGUCUGUCUAAACCCUGCCGGUCAGUGUAGACAACACUGAGCUCAAUGGACCAAUGGUUUGAGGCAGGUUUCCAUGUUCAUAAGGAAGCCUUCCAGGUUGGAGCCACUGCUUCUGUGGAGAAGAAGAACGCAUCUCUCAUUCCACUCACAUCCGU